UUUUAGGGUGGAGCACUAGAAUUCAGUUAGCACUGACCAAGUGGCAAAACUGAGAUGCUUAAAUCUUGUAAUAUAGAAAAGGGAAGAAGAGCAUUUUAGCCAGUGGAUUCUGAGGCAUGACCUGUUUUACCUCUAUAACUGGUUUGAUGAAUUGUCUGAAUUUAGUGGAAGCACACAUGGAAUGAUUUUCUUUUUCUCCAGCCACUGCCUUCGUAUAAGCUGCUUUCUGUGCUGCUUAGUGUCAUCUUUUUAGUUUUGUUAAAGUUGCUUUCCCUGCUCCUUAGUGUCAUCUUUUUAGUUUUGUGUGGAGAGGGGGGUGGUGAAGGGUAUUAAAAAUCCAAUCCAGUCCAUCCCAGUCCAGAUA
rnacentral:lncRNA from 1 species